AAGCUGACGAGUCCCAAAUAGGACGAAAUGCGCAUCCUGGAU
rfam:Schistosoma mansoni strain Puerto Rico chromosome 1, complete genome